rnacentral:lncRNA from 10 species
CAGGCUUGGUGAGACCUGGGGCAGGAGUCUGAGCCUCCUGAGUCCCUUGGGAAGUGGUCGCUGCCCCCAGGACACUGCCCCCAGGGACCUGGCCACAGCCUCCUGCCGGAGCCCAAGAACAAAGUACAGCUGGAAUCUCUCAGUGAGUUCCUUUUUCAGUCAUUCUGGUAAAGCCACCCAGAGGCCAGGAGUGCAAAUAAAUGGCUUCCCUGGGCUCUGGGACAGACAGUGGUUCUCAAUGGUGGUAAAGGGCCCAGGGAGAGGGCUCCGACCGGGAGAUUAAUCACACUGGCUUUGAAGAACAUCCUGCAAUGUAGCAACUCGCAGAUCCGGAAUCUCAGCUCCCUCCUCCUUCCCCUUCAGAGAAUUGCACUGACGUUAUCUGUCACUGACACUGUGCUGAAAAGAAAUCACAAGCCAGAUUCGAUGACAACUGCCAGCUCACAGCCCUCCAGGCCACUCAUCUCUCCUCUUCCUGGGAGCCAAUCUCAAAAGCUAUUUGCUGUCACUGUGGUUUUAUUCCCAGGUGACCUCAUUAAGUGGAGGCAGAAGGGCAGGGUGGCCAUGUGGCUCCGUGGAAACAGCAAAGGCCCUGCCAGUCACCAGUCACCACAUUGACUUUCCUUGGGUCAGUCAUUAACCCAUCUGAGCCUCAACUUUCUCAUCGGUGAAAUGGGGAUGGAAUUGCCCACUGCAAAGGGCUGUUGUGACCAUUAUGUGAGGCGAUGUAUGCAAAUAACCUGGGAAGAACAGGUACUGAGUCAACAGCAGACAGUUCUAUUUCCUUUAAGCAAACUAAGAGCCAGAGCAGGAGGGGACUUUCUCUGUAUGUGAAAUGUCACUGGUCUGGACCUGUUGGGAAGGAGGGGGAGUAAAAAGGGGGAUAAAGGGUGUACAAGGGCUCUGGUUUUUAAAGGACUCCUCCCCUCCUCAUUCUUUUUUUUCUUUCAUGUUCUGAGAACUUACUAAUUGCCAGGAACUAGACUAGAUCCUGUCAGGGAUUCAAAAAAAAGGUAAGACAAAGUCCCUAUUGGCAAGGAGAUUGCAGCCCCUCCCUUCCUCCAUAGAGAUCAACUUUCCUAGUCUACGGACACUGGCUGCCUCUCCUUUUCCUCCCUUUUGGACAAGCGCUAGCCCCACGAAGCAGUGCCCUGAUCGAUGUUUUGUCCAUUAAUCACAUUUCUGAUACCCUGCCUUGACAGCCCCCUACUUGAAGGACCUUGGGACGAACUCCUUUCCUGGAGGAGAAGAGCCAGCCCCUGGGGCAGUGUGUCAGGUGGCAGGGACUCAGACUGGAAUUCGUACAGAGGUGGGGUGUAACCUCAGCCCUGCCACGUCCGAGCUGAGCAACACAGGUUAAGUUGACUUAACCUUUGUGAGUCUCUGUGUCCCCAUGUAUCAAACACAGAAAAUGAAACCCAGCUCACUUGGUUGUUGUGAAUCCUGGAUCUUCUAUUUGACUUCUCUCUAAUUCAGAUGAGAGCAGAUUGCCUUUACUUAAAGUGAGGCUUCUCGAUGUAACCGAAUCUUUUUCCUUCCUCCCUAAAUCUGAGAUUUCUUCUACCCUGCUGGCCCUGGUCAAUGGCACCAUCGACCUCCCGGCCACGCAGCCUAGAGGCUUUCUCUCCCUCACCUGCACCCAAUUAUGGGCCAAGGCUUAUCCAGUUCACCUCCACAGCUUCUCUUGUUCUCUCACCAUUCUGACUCCCACCACCUGGGUCAAGGCUCUCUCACCUCUCCACCUGGAGUUCCCACCAUAACCCCCUCAUUGGAUUUCAUCCUCAAUAUUUCACCCUCUAACCCAUCCUUUACACUGCUUCCCAGGCCACCUUCCUAAAAAUCAGAUCAGGUAAUGCCACUGUCUUCUUCUAAAGCUUCUGAUCAUUUUUCAUUACCUAGAGAAUAAAUUAAUUCCACCUUCCCCAUCAAAUCAUUUCAGGCCCUCCAUACCAUACUCUCAGCUGCCUGCCAACCCUGUCUCUUCUUAUUUCCCUCCAAGAACCCUACAUCCAACCUCACUGAGCAACUACUGUUUCCCAAACACAACAAGUGUUCUCUUAACUCUGGGCCUUUGCACAUGCUGGGCCCUCGCCCUGGAAUGUGCUUUUCCAAUGUCACUCUUGAGUCUAAUUUAAGUGCUUCUUUCUCUAUGCUCCUACCAGUAUUCCUCAUAUGUCUGUUAAGAACAUAUUUCCCUCCACCACUAGGAUGUACGUUCCUUAAGGGUAAAGGUUUUGCUUUACACUUAACGUGAAAUCCCUCACAAUGCCUGGCGUGUACUAUGUAUCCCGUAUGUUUUCUAAAUGAAGGAGUGCAUGUCUUAGGUGUGGCUAAAUUCAAGCCAGAUUUUAUGGUACAAUAAAAAUGAUAAAACACUUUGGGGUCCAAUGCUCUGGCAGCAAAGGGUCAAGGGCAGGCAACUUAUCUGCGCAAAUACCUUCUCUACUAUUUAGAUAUUCCCCCACCUCUGCCUCCUGUGUCCAUAUGGUGACUCUAUUUUACAAAAAGCCAAAAAUCACAUGAUCUGACACAUGGUCUUAGCAGGGAAUAGAAUCUAUGAAAUUAUAACUGUCCCAGAAAAUCCAGCCCAUCUGGUAGGUGCUUUUUUUUUUAUUAAGAUAUAAUUUACAUACCAUAAAAGUCACCCUUUUAAAGUGUACAACUGUACAAUUCAGUGGUUUUUAGUAUAUUCAUAGAGUUGUGCAACCAUCAUGACUAUCUAAUUUCAGAACAUUUUCAUCACCCUAAAAAGAAAACCUUUGACCCAUUAGCAGUCAUUCCCUAUUCUCAUUCCCUCCCAGCCCCUGGCAGCCAUGAAUUUACUUUCUGUCUAUAGAUUUGCCUUUCCUGGACAUUUCCUAUAAAUAGAAUCAUGAAAUAUGUGGCCUUUUGUGUCUGGCUUUUUUCACUGAUACUUUCUUUAGGGCUUCAUGUUGUAGCAUGUAUCAGUACUUCAUUUCUUUUUAUUGACAAAUAGUAUUCCAUUGUAUGGAUAUACCAUAUUUUGUUUCUCCAUUUAUCAGCUGAUGGGCAUUUGGGUUGGUUCCACUCUUUGGCUGUUGUGAAUGCAACUAUAGAUGCUUUUAACACUGACCUACAAGGGAUGGGGUUGUGGUUAAUGAAACCAACAAAAAGGGCCUUUCCUUAUUGGACUUGUUGCCUAAGAGCAGUUUGGGAACAGGCUUUAAAGAGAGAGACCCAGAAAGGAAGGGAUGAUUGGAAGGCAAUAGAAGCUGUCUAUUUGGGUGACAUCAUCACUGGAGAGCAGGCUGCCCUGGCAGAAAAGACGAAGGAUAUACCAGUCCCAGUCUGACUUACCUCCAGAAGUGAUAGAAAAGUAGAGGGACAUUCAGCCCCAGCGUGAGCCACUCUUGCGCACACAGGAACAUAAUGCAGAAGAGGCUAUGGAUGGAGUAUUCUGGCAGCACCAGCUGAAGAGGGAGCAGAGACACGGCCCUGAGUUAGAGGAGGAAAACGCCACUCCUGCUUCUAUGGCAGCUGACUUCUGCCUGGACACUGCCUCUCACAGACGGUUGACACAAAGGCCCUCCCUGCAGCAACGUAGAGCCACUGCCCCAACACAGAUCCAUUUCUGGUGGCUUCUCUAGAUGACCUCUUAUGCCUAGAACACUGAACAGGAUCCUUACAAGUAGAAGAGGCUCCUCCAAUUAAUCCAGAGACUUUUAGGAGUGACAGUGACCUUUUGAUACACACACUGAUCCUUGCCUACUUCACCAGCUGCUUCUUGUCACAAUGAUGUGGAAGAGGUAAGGAACCUCUUCCUUCUAGACCAAAUGGAAAUCAGCCAGGCCAUUUGCAUGAGGCCUGCACCAUAGCCAUUAUGGCUGCCUCCACUCACACCCAGCACUCAGCCUUCUGGAAGGUGGUAAGGUCUCAUUUUCCAGCUCUCAGGGGUUGGGGCUGCUGAUGGGCUGUGGGCAGAAGUGAUGUGGAGAGAAGGCCAGACCACUUAACGGCUGAUACAAAAUUCUCCAGAGUCUCUUUUCCUUUUCCUCUGACAAAGCAAAAAGCAUUUAGGAUGGUGGGUACUCCAUCAUCCUGAAGCCACAAGUAAGGAAAGAGGCCCCCAGGCAACUCAUGAUGGACUAGAGUGUGAGCAGUAAAGAAACUUGUGUUGUUUUAAGCUGCCAAGAGUUGAGUGUUGUUGUUGUUGUUGUU